UCCUCUUACAAAUAUCGUCAAAUGUAUAAAAAUAAGCCAACAUGCAUGGCAAGAUUAGAUGAAUCUGAGGCUCUUCUAACAAUCAUCUAUGUCGUUAAAUAAAUAGGCGAAAUAAAAUAAAAAAUAUAUAUAUAGAACAAAACAAGCUUACUGACCUUCUAUUGCUAUAACAUUUACAUUUUGCUUGUUAAAGAUAUUUUCGUCGCCUUUUUAAUGUAUUUCCUCAUAAUAAAAAUAAGAGCAGGAAGCAAACAGUUAUUCAGAACGAGGCAGUGAUGAACUGCUCUUCUAUUAAUUGUACAACACCCAGGUCAUUAAAGUGUAAUAUAAAACCGUCACCGGACUUAUGAUAUCAAAUAUUGACGUAACAAAAUAAAAUUAAUACAGGAUUUCAGACAGUUUUUUCGACCAUUCAAUUCCAGUACAAUAUUUGAAACAAAUACUCUUGAAAUGUCGUGUGUCGUGCGUCUGAUACGGUGAUUUUUUUCCCGCAAUUUACUUUUCGUCCGCUUUUGCUUUUUGUCCGAUAAUUUUGCUUUUUGUCUGACACUUUUCCUCUUUGUCCGUUGCUUUUUGUCCGCAAUUUUAAUUUGUCCGAUGAUUUUGCUUUUUGUCCGACACUUUUGCUUUUUGUCCGUUGCUUUUUGUCCGUAAUUUGCUUUUUGUCCGAUAAUUUUGCUUUUUUUCCGACACUUUUGCUUUUAGUCCGUUGCUUUUAGUCCGUUUCGUUUUUUGUCCGAUAAUUUUGCUUUUUGUCCGAAGCUUUUGCUUUUUGUCCGUUGUUUUUUGUCCGUUUUGCAUUUUGUCCACUGAUUUUGCUUUAUGUCCGAUAUAAAAAUGUGUACAUAUUUUGCAAGUUGCAUAUUAUUGAACAUCAAAACACCAUGCCUUUUUUAUGAUUACAAGACUAAACAUACAAAAGUGAUUGCGCAUAUUGUCAAUAUAUGCAGAAAUGUCAAGUGUUAUCGUGCAUAUUUAUAAAUUUUGCGUUUUGCGUUUAAUAGUUUGUAAGAAAUAUUUCAAAGCUCAAAUUUCAAAUCAUGCACAUGUACAUUAUUGAUAACAUAUACGGAGUGCUACAAAAAUGCAAUGCUAUUAUUUUUUUUCUCCAAAAACAUAUUGAUUUAUUUUUUAGAUCAUCUGGCUCUAUUAACCAAAUAGUCUUUUCUCAUUACUUGGCGUCCGUCGUCUGUCGUCGUCGUCGUC
rnacentral:lncRNA from 1 species